UGGCAUCUCUGUGGGCACUGCAUAAUUUGCCUUGCGUCUAUCUAUACAGUCAAAACAAGUUGACAGGUAAAAUAAAGGGUACAAAGUACAGUUAUACCUCAAGGUAUUCUCACAGCUGCACGGGAGAGGAAGAGCUACACUGUCAUAACAUUCUGGACUGUCCACUCUGCCAUGGAUAGGUGCAGGACACAUGGCUUGAUGUAAGGAAGAGGAAGCAUGUACAGCUGCUAUCUCACAGUAAAAAGCACUGAGAUUGAUGACACCCCAUCCCAGGAAUUGUAUAAUGUUCAGUAACAAGUGUUUCACAAAGAUUUAAUGAAUUGCCUGGUCUUGC